rnacentral:misc_RNA from 1 species
AUGUCUCCCUCCUCAAGGCCCAUAAGGGCCCGCCUCCGGCGACUCCGGCCACUCUCCCUGCUGCUUCUUGGGAUAACCAUCCUCUUUUGGUGCCCUUGCACAUACUGGAUUGGAGGCUCGAUCCUUCUACUUCACCCCCUUCCAAGCACGUGCUGGUCCAAUGGGAAGGUCUUGCGCCCGAGGAAUCCACUUGGGAACGCUGGGAUGACUUGCGACUUGCUCACAACCUUGAGGACAAGGUUGUUUUCGGAGAUGGGGGUAUUGAUAGCAUUCA